rnacentral:rRNA from 1 species
GGCGAACCGGGGGAACUGAAACAUCUAAGUACCCCGAGGAAAAGAAAUCAACCGAGAUUCCGAAAGUAGCGGCGAGCGAAAUUGGACUAGCCCUUAAGCUUUACACGCGUUAGACGAACAGCCUGGAAAGGCCGACGAUACAGGGUGAUAGUCCCGUAGUUGACGACGUGUGUUCAGUGAAAUCGAGUAGGGCGGGACACGUGAUAUCCUGUCUGAAUAUGGGGGGACCAUCCUCCAAGGCUAAAUACUACUGACUGACCGAUAGUGAACCAGUACCGUGAGGGAAAGGCGAAAAGAACCCCUGUGAGGGGAGUGAAAUAGAACCUGAAACCGUGUACGUACAAGCAGUAGGAGCA